ACCUGUUUAUAGGUCUGUGUUGUGAUGUGCGAUGUUUACAAUGCUCCACUUCACACACUGCCCUAUUGACAAUG
ensembl:miRNA pma-mir-4543 pma-mir-4543